rnacentral:piRNA from 1 species
ACCAAACUCAGGUCCUCUGCUAGGGCAGU